GUGGGGAAUAUUGGACAAUGGGCGAAAGCCUGAUCCAGCCAUGCCGCGUGUGUGAAGAAGGUCUUCGGAUUGUAAAGCACUUUAAGUUGGGAGGAAGGGCAGUAAGUUAAUACCUUGCUGUUUUGACGUUACCGACAGAAUAAGCACCGGCUAACUUCGUGCCAGCAGCCGCGGUAAUACGAAGGGUUCAAGCGUUAAUCGGAAUUACUGGGCGUAAAGCGCGCGUAGGUGGUUUUGCAAGUUGGAGGUGAAAUCCCCGGGCUCAACCUGGGAACUGCCUCCAAAACUGCAUGACUAGAGUACGGUAGAGGGUAGUGGAAUUUCCUGUGUAGCGGUGAAAUGCGUAGAUAUAGGAAGGAACACCAGUGGCGAAGGCGACUACCUGGACUGAUACUGACGCUGCGGUACGAAAGCAUGGGGAGCAAACAGGAUUAGAAACCCGUGUAGUCC
rnacentral:rRNA from 1 species